ensembl:scaRNA
GGCCUCUUGCCCCUGAGGCUGCUGGGGAUCCCAUAGCUCCUCAGCAGGGCCUGGAGGCUGAGAUCAGCCCUGGAGGAGCAUCAGCAGCAGGCUGCGAGUGGGCAGCCUUGUUUUCCUGCCUUCACAUGU